CUUUGACUUUUACUUAUAAGUUUGUAAAAUUAUUACAAGAAUGAUCUAUUAGCUUUAUGGUUAAUGAUAAAUAAGGAGAUAAUAUAAUUGUCUUAGAGACCCGAGUUAAAAAAAUCAGAUUCUCACUUUAUUAUCUCCUCCAUAGUCGUCCCUCACAUCUCCCUUUCUCUCUUAAAUUUUCCCCUUUCUUCUUCCUUGUGUUAUUGCUUUGCUUAUUAUUUUGCUGUCAUUUUUCUAGCCAUAUUACCGUUAUUUUUAAUCUUUAAAUCAACCUCUUUGCUGCCCUAAAACUCUCCUCUAUGCCACCCAAAUCAACCUCCUUUUGUUGUCCAUUGCCGUCCACUUUCCCUCAUUUGUGGUGAUACCGGCUCAUCUAAGGCUUAGAAGCGGAGGUGCGGAUUGGUAGUGCUACAAUUUUUGAAACUAAGGUGUGGGAUUUAAUCUAAGUGAAUAGUGUCUGCGUGUGUGAGUCUUACCUUUGUUUUAAUAGUUAUAAAUUAACGUUGUAUGAUGAAAAUUGCUAAAAUUAUGCUUGUUGUUUGUGGCAUGGCCGAAUGAUCAAAAAUCAAAUAAAUGGUGUGCCAAACAAGGUACGUACUUAAAUAUGUAAGUCGUUUAUAAGAGGUUCGGUUUGAGGAUUGUUUGAUUGUGUAUGGGAUGUAUGCAUUGUACGAGUAUGUGUCAUAAUUCUGAUUGGUUUAUGUAAGUUGUGAUAUACUUCAUAAUGUUUACUGUAUAAUGGAUAUUAAUCAUUGACGCGUGGAAAA